GUCACCAGGGUGACCUACAUCAGCUGGCUGUAUUUAAUUUCUGCACGUGACCUCUCGCUCUUGCAUGGCAGCCUUCUAGUAGGUAGAUGUUUUAUAGUGCAAAGGUGCUGAGAAAGGAAGAAAAAACAGCCACUCACCUAGAAUGCAGAUCAUAAAAAACUUUCCUGGAGCUGGGUCUAUUAGAAGCAUUUCUGGUGAAAAGCGAAUAUGAUCUGUGUUGCUGUUUCUAAACAAUGCCUCCUUAUCUGAUGGCACGUGAGCACGCAUGGUUAUGGCACAGCAUGGGCACUGUGAAGCUACAGGAUGUCAGACUAAGCACAUGCUGCUGCUGCUUAGGAAAGGACAGCCUUGGCAUCACUGAAUUUUGGAGAGACACUGUUAUUCUCCAUGCACCUUGUCCUUGUGAAAAUACUCACUGUUAGCUGUAUCUUCUGGGCUGCCACAGUUCGGGAUCAGCUUAUGAAAGCCAUCAGCAGAUAUACUGGUGAGUUAAGCCAUACUGAGCCCUACUGAUUUUGAGAGGAGGAUAUGGCUUUCAGCAGCAGCCCAUGGCUCCUGGACUUCUCAUAGUGUGAUGGGCUUCCAGAGUUCCUGGUGUUCACACCCUGUGCAUCUGAGAGGUAUCUUAUCUGUGAGUAGAUGAUGCUGAAAUGCAUGUGUUACUUCACAUACUGUGAUCAGUUUUCGGGAGCUGAAAUGUCUCAGUCUCAUAGCAUAGA
rnacentral:lncRNA from 1 species